UACAGAGGGGGCAAGCGUUAUUCGGAAUUAUUGGGCGUAAAGGGCGCGUAGGCGGCUUGGCAAGUGGAAGGUGAAAUCCCUCGGCUUAACCGAGGAACUGCCCUCCAAACUGCUUGGCUUGAGACCGGGAGAGGUGAGUGGAAUUCCCAGUGUAGCGGUGAAAUGCGUAGAUAUUGGGAGGAACACCAGUGGCGAAGGCGGCUCACUGGACCGGUACUGACGCUGAUGCGCGAAAGCCAGGGGAGCGAACGGG
rnacentral:rRNA from 1 species